rnacentral:lncRNA from 1 species
GCAACACGGCAGUUACGUCGCAAUAACUAGACUUAUCUCCACUGCGCUGCGAUAAGUCAGCGCCUAACUGGGCUGGUCGACCAUGCGCGAAACCCAAAACACCGCUGUGCAGGUCAGCGCAGCCCGCUGUUUAAAUUGCUCACGCACCCUCGUUAUAUUGUCGCUGUAAGGGGUGUAGAUAGAUACUCGGUCGAACGUAAGCACCACUCUGGCCCCUAUCUUAAUC